GUGAGGAAUAUUGCGCAAUGGAGGCAACUCUGACGCAGCCAUGCCGCGUGCAGGAAGAAGGCGCUACGCGUUGUAAACUGCUUUUAACCGGGAAGAAACCCCAGGACGUGUCCUGGGUUGACGGUACCGGAGGAAUCAGCACCGGCUAACUUCGUGCCAGCAGCCGCGGUAAUACGAAGGGUGCAAGCGUUAUCCGUAUUCAUUGGGUUUAAAGGGUGCGUAGGCGGAGCGUUAAGUCAGUGGUGAAAUCCUGCAGCUUAACUGUAGACUUGCCAUUGAUACUGGCGCUCUUGAGUGCGCUUGAAGUGGGCGGAAUGUGCCGUGUAGCGGUGAAAUGCUUAGAUAUGGCACAGAACACCAAUUGCGAAGGCAGCUCACUAAGGCGAUACUGACGCUGAGGCACGAAAGCGUGGGGAUCGAACAGGAUUAGAUACCCCAGUAGUCC
rnacentral:rRNA from 1 species